rnacentral:sRNA from 1 species
GCCAGGUGUGGUGGUGUGUGCCUGUGGUCCCAGCUACUCAGGAGGCUGAGGUUGGAGGAUCACUUGAGCUCAGGAGGUAGAGGCUGCAGUGAGCCAUGACCGUGCCACUGUACUCUAGCCUGAGCAACAGAGUGAGACCCUAUCUCAA